GAUGAAGAACGUAGCGAAAUGCGAUAAGUAAUGUGAAUUGCAGAAUUCAGUGAAUCAUCGAGUCUUUGAACUCACAUUGCGCCCCCUGGUAUUCCGGGGGGCAUGCCUGUCCGAGCGUCAUUGCUGCCCUCAAGCACGGCUUGUGUGUUGGGCCCCCGUCCCCGGUUUCCCCCGGGGACGGGCCCGAAAGGCAGCGGCGGCACCGCGUCCGGUCCUCGAGCGUAUGGGGCUUUGUCACCCGCUCUGUAGGCCCGGCCGGCGCCAGCCGACACCCAACUUUAUUUCUAAGGUUGACCUCGGAUCAGGUAGGGAUACCCGCUGAACUUAAGCAUAUCAAUAAGCGGAGGA
rnacentral:misc_RNA from 1 species